AAAAAGUUGUUAUGUAUGACACAAAAAUAGGCUAUAAUGAAGUUUUGUGCUGAAUAUAUACUCUGGAAACCACAAGACAUUUGUGUGUCAUUCUCAUAGCAUGCUGGUUGCCAUUAAAUUACUCUUGGUAGGGAAUCCCAUGUUCUGAUGGCAGCUGAAUGUAGAAUUCUAUCUUCUUUGUGGUAAGGAGGAAGAAAUGUGUUUGAGAGCAUUUACAUAUAUAUUUUACUUCCCAUUUGUGUGGCUAAUUCUGUCUUUAGAAUAUGGUUUGGCAAGGGGUAUAAUAAAACUUUUAUUUUGGCAAGUCUAAGAUAUCACUCAUAAGUAAGGCAGAUCUUCCCAAAAAAGUUGCUAUACGAAAUUCAAAGCAUCAGUGUUCAUUCACACAUUUCUCUUAGACAGUACAUUUCUCCUCUUUUGUUAGCUUUCCAGGCUUUUGUCAUCAUUGUUCUUUCCUUCUUCUGUCAUCUUUUCAGCUGUCCUAGAAGUGGUGGGUGACUUAGAUCAUGGUGGAACAUAAUGCCAUCUGUAAACACAAGAAGAUUUUAAUGAAAAAAUCCUCAAUGUCUAAAUUAAAGCAAAGCCAAGUUCUUUUCCUUUCCCAAACCACAGCUUUCACAAUGCUUUUCUUCUAGAGUUCAGAAGCCAAGGUUCAUCCAAGCAGCUGGCCCUAUCUGGUUUCUGCAAGUCUAGAUAGAAUAAGGCAGAUAGCAAUUUAUUGUAAAAUUUUUGGGAUAGGUGGAGAGAUAGGAAGCUCUAAAGAAUUCACAUUCAUCUGGCAACAACAAGAAUGCUUGUCUGCUAUCCAUAAAAUCCAAGGUUUAGACCUACAAAGAAUUCUUUGCUGGCUCCUGCUCUGAACCCAGUGUGGACCCUGCAAGGAGUUCCUAGCAGAUCUGCUCUUGUCAUGCCCUUCCGGUAAGACUUUUAACCUGGCCUCCAAAGCUCCAGUGAGAGCUGUCCCUAGACUAUCUCUUCAACCUAGGCCCAAGUCUGUAGACUUCCCCUCUUUCUUAGACAUCUGGUUUAGAGCUUGGUUCCUUGGGAAUCGCCAGGUUCUGCCCUCAUGUGGGCAUCCCAACCUUGUGAAAUUCAAAUGUGGAGUUCUUUAGCUAACAAGGCAGCUUAAUGGGCCUGGGAUUAAAAGCCCAGUAGCUUGUGUCCAGGACUAGUUAUGUAAGAGAACCUCCAAGAGAGGACAGGACAUGGUUUUCUACAAAUAAAUAAGGCAAAGAGGCUACAUUCAUAGUGCCACAGCUGGGGAGCAACUAUGAGCCGUGAAUUUCUCAUGCUAACAAAUCCAAGCUCUUUGGAAAACAGAUGUUGAGGGCUGGGACUGGCACUGGAUCUCCCCUGGCAGGAACUGCAAAGGUUCAGAGAUGGAAGGGCAUCUAGAAAUCAUUUGUUCAUAAACACGGCUGAGGGACCGCAACCUGCUUUCACGCCCUGCCUGGGCUGCACUGCUGGAUCCCUUCCAUGCAGUGUUUCUAUGAGGAAGAAGGCAGAUAUGCAAAGCUUCUGCAGCCCACGCUCUACAGAAAUAAUUAAACAGUUUUUCUUAACCUCUUGAACUUUUC
ensembl:lncRNA